AUCUCCCGUAAGUUAUCCAAUUUCCACACAUAUUGAUCUUUUUCACACUCAUUGCUUCUAAUGGGGAUAACCAAUGCGGUAUUUUUCGUUCUAAUAGAUUUUUAUAUCUAUCCCAUAUUUCUAUUAGAGAUCUUUGAAAUAUGUGGUUUCCAAAUCCUUUAUGGACUUUUGCUUUGUUAUGCCAUAAAUAUGCGUGCCAACCCAAUCUAUUAUCAUAGCCUUCUAAAUCUAACAGAUCUGUAUUUUCUAAUACCAUCCAUUCCUUUAACCAACAGAGACAAGAUGCUUCAUAAUACAAUUUCAAAUCUGGCAGGGCAAAGCCUCCUCUUUCUUUAACAUCUGUUAAUAACUUAUAUUGUAUUCUCGGCUUCUUUCCCUGCCAGAUAUAUCUUGAAAUUGUUUUUUGCCAUUCUUUAAAAAUUGUUGCCCCCUUGAUUAUUGGAAUUGACUGAAACAAAAAUAACAUAUUUGGUAGCACAUUCAUUUUAAUAGCAGAAAUCCUUCCCCAAAAUGACAAUUUCAUCCUUCCCCAUAUUUCCAAGUCUCUUUUAAUUCCAUUCCACACCGGUGUAUAAUUAUUUUGGAAGAGAUCAAUAUUUUUAGGAGUUAACCAAAUUCCUAAAUAUUAAACUUUUUUUACUGCUUCUAUACCAAUUUGUUGCUGCAACACUUCCACCAGGUCCUGUUUCAUAUUUUUGACUAUCAUUUUAGUUUUCUUUUUUUUCAAUUUAAAACCUGCUACUUGCCCAAACAGUUUUAUCUCCUCUAAUACUUCUUUAGCACUUGUAACUGGAUCUUCUAUUGUUAGUACCAAGUCAUCGGCAAAGGCUUUCACUUUAUACUCGUUCCGACCGACUAAAAUUCCCUUUAUUAUUUCAUUUCUUCUUAUUGUCCUUAGAAAGACUUCCAGUACCAAUAUGAAUAAUAGUGGUGAUAAUGGACACCCUUGUCUUGUACCUUUCGUAAUAUCAAUACUUUCUGUUACUAUAUUGUUCACAAUCAAUUUUGCUCUUUGUUCUGAAUAUAUAGUUUUUAUUCCUUUUAAGAAGAAUUCUCCAGUAUCCAUUAAUUCCAAAUUCUUUAACAUAAAUUCCCAAGAUAUAUUAUCAAAGGCCUUUUCCGCAUCAACAAAAUUUAACAUCGCUUGCUUUUCAUUUCUGGCAGUCAGAUAUUCAGUUAUAUUAACUAUAUUUCUUAUGUUGUCUUUCAUCUGUCUGCCAGGUAAAAAGCCUGCUUGGUCCUUAUGAAUUAUCUCAUUCAAUAUCUUUUUCAAUCUGUUUGCCAAUAUACUUGCGAAUAACUUAUAAUCAUUAUUUAACAGCGAAAUCGGUCUGUAAUUCUUUACUUGCAUUAAAUCCGAAUCUUAUUUUGGUAUUAAUGUAGUAUAUGCAUCUUUCCAUGUUUCUGGUAAUUCUCCUUUUCUUAAUAUAUUGUUCAUAACUUCUUUCAACAGUACAAGUAGGGUGUGUUUCAUUUCUUUGUAAUAUUUUGCUGUAAAUCCAUCCGGUCCUGGUGUCUUUCCACUUUUCAAUUCUUUUAUAGCAGCCUUAAUUUCCUCUAUUUCAAUUGGGUCAUUUCUUUUCCUUCCACUGUGAUCUUAUUAAUUGUACUCUGUUCUUUCCUUUUUUAGAUUUGCCAUGCCAACCAUUUUCCAGAUAUAUCGGCAUAUUCAAAAUUUUUCUGUCUCAGUAUUUUAAUAUUCCAUUCAACCUCUUGAUUAAUUAUCAUUGCAAAUUGGCUUUGUAAUAUUUUAAUAUUCUGAUUUAUUUUCACGUUGUUUGGAUUUUUAACUAGCUUCUUCUCAUUUUCUAUUAUUUGUUUUAAUAUUUCUUUCUUUCCUUUUUCUCGAAAUUUAUUUUUAAUGCUAUUUUGAUGUAUGAAGAAGCCUCUCAAAACUGCUUUGCUAGCAUCCCAAACCACACUCAUUUUUGUUCCUUUAUUACUAUUAUUCACAAAGUAUUCCGUCAGCAUCUUCUGCGCUUUCUCCUUUAUUUUUUGGUCAUCCAGUAAAUUUUCAUUUAAUCUCCAUCAAAAGGUUUUUUCCUCUGUUUCUUUUAUCUCACAUUUUAUUGCAUUAUGAUCCGAAAGUAUUUUUGGUUGUAUUUCUAUUUUUGUCACCCUUCGUGUUAAUUUGCUGGUUAUCCAAACAUAGACUUUUCUUGACAUUGAUUGAUUUGGUUCUGAGAAAUAAGUAAAUUGUUUUUCUAAUGGGUGUCUUAGUCUCCAAACAUCCACUAGAUUACAAUUCUCAAUCAUAGAAAAAAAUGUGUUAGGUAAUUUCCCUUCUUUUGAUUUUUCUCUUGUCCUCAGCCUAUCCAUUUCCAUCAAUACCACUCCGUUCAUAUUUCUCAUUACUAUAAUUUUCUGAUCCACAGAUUUUCUUCUAAAUCCUUAUAAAAUUCAGUCUUACUUCCGUUCAGUGCAUACACUCUGACAAUUAUUAGUUUUUCGCCCUGCCAUGUGACUUGUACCACUAUUACUCUACCUUCUUCAUCCUUGAAGAUUUGCCGAGCUUCAAAUUUACUUUUUAUAUACAAAACCACUCUUCUUUUCCUGCUUCUGUCUGAUGAAAUAAAUUCAUUUCCUAAUUUUUUAUUAAUCAAUACUCUUCUAUGUUUCCUAGCCACAUGAGUUUCUUGUAAACAAAUAAUGUCCAAAUUCUUUUUUUUAAGGAAAUGUCCAAUUUUAUUUCUUUUCUAUUUGUCGUUAACGCCGUUAACAUUCCAUGUCCAUAUUUUCAGUGCCAUUUUGUGUUCUCCUUAAAAAUAAAAGAGUAAAAGUCUUAAACUUGACCUUCUUCUUCCUCUUCUCCUUCUCCUUCAAUACUACCUUUGUCUUCUUCUUCCAGUCCUGCCUGCUGCUCCCGCUUCUGCUACUUCAUCUACUUUUCCCAACUCUUUGUAUCUUCUCAAGAAUUUAUGCGUGUCAUCAACAUUUGUAAAUUUAAACUUUUUCUCCUUAUAAUAAAAGGAGAUCCCUUCUGGAAAUUCCCACUUAAAUUCAAUUACAUUUUUCCUUAGUAUCUGUGUCAGAGAUUUAUAUUGGUCAGGUUUUUUCAACAGCCGAAGUGGGACGUCUUUAAAAAUGAUUGUAAACGAUCCAUCAAUGCAAAGCCUUUUUUCUCUAUUUUUCUGUAGAAUCAGGUUUCUCAUCUCCCUAUCUUUAAAUAUAAUCAAACAAUCACCUGGAAAUUUCUUUGUUUUGACAGUCCUUGUUUUAAUUCUAAAAGCAUUCUGUAUUGUCUUUCCAACAUCUUCCACUUCCAUGCUUAGCCAUUGUGCAAUCUCUGCUGUUAAUUUCUCCAAGAUGUUCUCUCCUUGUACUUCAGGCACAGAUCUAAACCUCAAAUUAAGUUCUCUUUGCCUCAAUUUAUUCAUAGCAAUCGCAUCCCACAGAUCUUCCUGUGUUUUAUUAAUUUCAAAAACUUCUCCCUUAACCCUUUCUUCCUCUUUCUUCAUAUCUCUCACUUCUUGUUUUGUUCGUCUCAUUCCUUCUUCCAGGUUUUGCAUUCUUUUUGUUAUUUCUUUCAUCUGACCCUUCUGUUCACUGUCAUAUCGUAUUUUUUAUCAAAUCUAAUCUUGUCUCCAAAUUCUUUUCACAUUGUUUAAUAUCCUUUUUUUUCCUGCAAACAUUUUUAAAAUACCUCCCUUAAACUCAGUUUCCUGCAUUGAUCCUCUUCUUUCCACUGGUGUCCCGCCUUCCCCCACUUUUUCCUGUGUUUUCUUCAUUAUUUCCACUCUGCCCUUUUGCUAUUCCUUGUCUCACCACCAGAUAUCACCCUUAAAUUUCCAAUUAAUAGAGACUUCCGGGUUGGCGCCAUCGGCAAUGGCGGAAUUCCUCUGACCGGGAGGAAUUUGCCCCGUGGGAAACUGGGUCUGGCCACCACAGCAAAGGCGGAGACCCGCAAAAAAUCACAGGCGGGAGAAGCCUGUGAACGUGGGAUUCGGCGGGCACCCUUUGUGCCUCCCCUACUCGCGGGGAAACCCGGUUUCGGGGGUCCGGAGCGACGUGGGGUGAGUGGUGCGGUGCUUCGAGUCGUCUGCUUCUUCCACGGAGCGAAGCCGCAUAGCUGUUGCCGGAGAGCGCUGACUUUUUCCUGUGGACAAUUCGACUCUAAAGUAAUUACCCGUGAGUAGAGCUGAAGCGGGAGAAUUGGAUUUUUAAACGUAUAAUUUGGUAUCGUAACGGGGAGGUUCAACACAGGAAGUCCGCCUUCCCCUUUUGUAAAUAGACUGAAGCAAUGAGGCUGCAAGCUGAAGUCUUGGAAAGCCUUUUCUAAAAGAAUAAAUCUCCACCAGUAAAGAACAUUUAACCCCCCCUUGGAGGCAGGAGAAGAGGGGGAGAAGUUGUGGACUGAGUAUGCCUGCAGGAGAGAGUGAGGAGAGCUAGAAUUCCGCCGCUCUGACCCUGGAAACGGGCUGCUAGCAGGACUGACGUCCUUUGGAUGUUCAUUGACAGCGCUUAGAACGUUCAUUGACAGCUAGCUAAAUAAGAGAAAUACAUUGUUUCUACUGUCUCCAGCUGUUUCUAAAAAGUAGUAAAGUAACUGAAAAUUGAAACUAACUUUGGAUUGUUGGAACUGUGUUUAAAAAAGGACAUUAUUGAUUAAUAC